CCGCACCAGACGAUCAUGUCGUCCAAACAAGGUGGGAAGUUGAAGCCCCUGAAGCAGCCAAAGGCUGACAAGAAGGAGUACGACGAGGUGC